AUUGAACGCUGGCGGCAGGCCUAACACAUGCAAGUCGAACGGUAACAGGAAGCAGCUUGCUGCUUUGCUGACGAGUGGCGGACGGGUGAGUAAUGUCUGGGAAACUGCCCGAUGGAGGGGGAUAACUACUGGAAACGGUAGCUAAUACCGCAUAACGUCGCAAGACCAAAGAGGGGGACCUUAGGGCCUCUUGCCAUCGGAUGUGCCCAGAUGGGAUUAGCUAGUAGGUGGGGUAACGGCUCACCUAGGCGACGAUCCCUAGCUGGUCUGAGAGGAUGACCAGCCACACUGGAACUGAGACACGGUCCAGACUCCUACGGGAGGCAGCAGUGGGGAAUAUUGCACAAUGGGCGCAAGCCUGAUGCAGCCAUGCCGCGUGUAUGAAGAAGGCCUUCGGGUUGUAAAGUACUUUCAGCGGGGAGGAAGAGAGUAAAGUUAAUACCUUUGCUCAUUGACGUUACCCGCAGAAGAAGCACCGGCUAACUCCGUG
rnacentral:rRNA from 1 species